rnacentral:rRNA from 1 species
GCAAGUCGAACGCAGUAGCAAUACUGAGUGGCAAACGGGUGAGUAUAAUGUGGGAAUCUGCCUUUUGGUUUGGAAUAACACGGGGAAACUUGUGCUAAUACCGAAUAAGCCCUUACGGGGAAAGUUUUAACGCCGAAAGAUGAGCCUGCACUUGAUUAGCUAGUUGGUAAGGUAAAAGCUUACCAAGGCAACGAUCAAUAGCUGUUCUUAGAGGAAGACCAGCCACAUUGGGACUGAGACACGGCCCAGACUCCUACGGGAGGCAGCAGUGGGGAAUCUUGCACAAUGGGGGAAACCCUGAUGCAGCGAUGCCGCGUGAGUGAAGAAGGCCCUUGGGUUGUAAAACUCUUUCGUCGGGGAAGAAAAUGACUGUACCCGAAUAAGAAGGUCCGGCUAACUUCGUGCCAGCAGCCGCGGUAAUACGAAGGGACCUAGCGUAGUUCGGAAUUGCUGGGCUUAAAGAGCUCGUAGGUGGUUAAAAAAGUUGAUGGUGAAAUCCCAAGGCUCAACCUUGGAACUGCCAUCAAAACUUUUUAGCUAGAGUGUGAUAGAGGUAAGUGGAAUUUCUAGUGUAGAGGUGAAAUUCGUAGAUAUUAGAAAGAACACCAAAUGCGAAGGCAACUUACUGGGUCACUACUGACACUGAGGAGCGAAAGCAUGGGUAGCGAAGAGGAUUAGAUACCCUCGUAGUCCAUGCCGUAAACGAUGUGUGCUAGACGUUGGAAAUAUAUUUUUCAGUGUCGCAGCGAAAGCAUUAAGCACACCGCCUGGGGAGUACGACCGCAAGGUUAAAACUCAAAUGAAUUGACGGGGGACCCGCACAAGCAGUGGAGCAUGUGGUUUAAUUCGAAGAUACGCGCAGAACCUUACCAACACUUG